rnacentral:lncRNA from 1 species
AGGUUCUGGACUACGGACAACAGAUUGAUAUGUGGUGGUAGUGAUUAUCUUCGUUUCUAGGUGAUACCAUUGAAGCCCAGACACAACAUGUAACUUGCCCAAAUUUACCCAGAUGUAAGCGGUGGAGACAGGAUUAGAAACCUGCAACUCUGAAGACUCAGGACAACGAAACAAAACCCUAAUGCCCUGAAUUCCCAAGGAAAUGACCUAAGGUUCUCUUUCUGUCGUGAAGCUAGGAGACCUCUGAGAUGGGAGUCAGUGUGAGGUCUCCAGAGAUGUAAAUUUAUAAUUGAGGUGUCACCUGUUAAGAUGUGGGCAUAUUUGAGGGGCCAUUAUUCGGCCUCUCCUAGCCAGAACUGCAUCUGACAAAGAAUCCAAAGAAAAUAAGACAUACUCAUAAAGAAUCCAGAGUAUGAAAACUUAGAAAAAAUUCAGUGCUCUAAAAGCUCUCCAUGUUUGAAGUUUGUGUUGUGAUUUUUCCCAGUGAUGAUCUCAAAAAUAAAAAUCCUCAUGGUUUAUAUUUGAGGGCCACAAGGAAUCAGGGAGCUGGAGGAGACUGCGUUCCACCUGGCAUCUAGUUUUGCUGCGAAAGCAACCCAUGGAGAUAAUCAAACAACUUGGCAACAAGUCAUAUGGAAGAGGGAGGAAAAAAAGACUAACUUCCCAGAGCUGGAGGGAAAGCAGAAAGCCAUGCUUAAGCUCUCAUCAGUGGGAGCCAUUCCAUCCCAGGAUCCUUUCAGCAACCAAUUUGGAAGUCUAGGCUUUUCAGUAAAUAGUUUUAUCUUGUGUUUCGAAAAAGCCACACUUCAUCUUCUGAGCCUCAUAUUCUCUUACAUGAAGUUACUAAAUAAAUCUGUAUUUCUUUUAUUUCUUUUACUUUUUUUUUUUUUUUUUUUUUUUUUUUUUGAGACAGGGUCUCACUGUGUUGCACAGGCUGGAGUGCCGUGGUGAGAUCACGGCUCAGUGCAGCUUCAAAAUCCUGGGCUCAAAAGAUCCUCCAGCCUUAGCCUUCCCAGUAGCUGGGACUACUGGUGCAUGUGACCACGUCUACCUAAUUUUUAAUUUUAUUUUUUUGUAGAAACAGGGUCUUGCUGUGUUGCCCAGACUAGUUUGGAACUCCUGGCCUCAUGCAAUGCUCCCAACCUUGGCCUCCCAAAGUGCUGGGAUUACAGGCACGAGCCACGGCACCAGGCAUUCCCCGCCCCACAAUGAUUUAUACGGCUAAUGGUACUCCAAAUCUGAUAGAAAAGAAUCCAGUCUGCUCCUACUUCUUCACUUCCAGUGCUAACCAAGCAUAAGCCUCAACCUCUCUUGCCGGAGCUGGUAAAAUUGGCAUCUAUCUAAUCUCCUCACUUCGUCUUUUGUCCCAACAUAGUCCAUUCUCCACACAGAAGCCAGAUCUUCUGAAAAAUGAAGCCUGAUGUCAACAUUUCCCUGUUGAAAGCUUUCUGACAUUUUCGUAGACCUGUCUAACCACAGUCUUUAAGAGGCCCCAUGUGGGCUGGCCACCUUGCACCUCUCCACACCCAUCUUACAUAUCACACCUCCAUUACAUUUCAACCAUGCGGUUUUUUUGUCUGUUCUUUGAACACAGCAAGCUCGGGCCUUUGUGCUGGCUGUACCCUCUGACUGGAAAACCUGGUCCCCUCCCCAUGCCAUUCCCAUACCACUAACUCCUGAAGGUGGAUCUGUUCUCUGCUCAAAGUUCACCUUCUCAGAGCGGCACUGCAUGGCCACAGCUCUGGUACUUUCUAAUUCUUCUGAUUCAUCACUGUGCUUUGAUUGUCUUUAUAUCACUUAUCUUUCUCUGAAAUUAUUUUGUCCAUAUAUUAACAUACUGGUUUGUCAUCUAUACAUACUACUCCCAGCUCUCCCUAGCCCUACUCCCACCUCACAGCACAAUGUAAAUGCUGACUGAGUAGGGAUGAAAUCUACCUUAUUAAUUGUGGCUGAAUUCCCAGAUGCCAGAAUAGUGUCAAAUACAUAGUAGGGACUUCAUAAAUAUUUUAAAACAUUUUUGAAACUAUAAAUUUAAGGGAUUAUAUAUAUUUUUCAAAAGAUUCCUUAUGAGAAUACUGUUUUAAAUAGUGAAUAGAUUUAUUUGUAAUAGUAUUUCAGCUACACUUCAUACCUUAGUUUCUUAAGAAACUAUAAAAUGAGAGCUGGGUUAGAUGACAAACAAGGUCCUUUCCAGUAAUUAUAGUUCCGUGAUUAUGACUGAAAUAAAAAAAAUUAAAGCUAAUUUUCAAAAGGACAGUUGCUAAGUAAAGUGGUGUCCACCUCUGUAAUUUAAAAAAUGACUCAUUUCUGUCUGAUUCAUCUAGAGUAGAAAGUAUCUCUUAACUCUUUUGCUGCAGGCCUCUCUGUUCACC